rnacentral:rRNA from 1 species
UACGGGGGGGGGCAAGCGUUGUUCGGAAUUACUGGGCGUAAAGGGCUCGUAGGCGGCCAACUAAGUCGGAUGUGAAAUCCCCAAGCUUAACUUGGGAACUGCAUCCGAUACUGGAUGGCUUGAAUCCGGGAGAGGGAUGCAGAAUUCCAGGUGUAGCGGUGAAAUGCGUAGAUAUCUGGAGGAAUACCGGUGGCGAAGGCGGCAUCCUGGACCGGCAUUGACGCUGAGACGCGAAAGCGUGGGGAGCGAACAGG